rnacentral:rRNA from 1 species
UACAGAGGUCUCAAGCGUUGUUUCGGAUUACAUUGGGCGUAAAGGGUGUGUAGGUGGCGCCGUAAGUCGGGUGUGAAAUUUCGGAGCUUAACUCCGAAACUGCAUUCGAUACUGCGGUGCUUGAGGAACUGGAGAGGAGACUGGAAUUCAUGGUGUAGCAGUGAAAUGCGUAGAGAUCAUGAGGAAGACCAGUGGCGAAGGCGGGUCUCUGGACAGUUCCUGACACUGAGACACGAAGGCCAGGGGAGCAAACGGG